GGCAUCGUGGUCGAGUGGCUUAAGACACCUGUCUGCAAAACAGGUUUUACCGUGGGUUCGAAUCCCACCGAUGUCU
rnacentral:tRNA from 1 species